rnacentral:tRNA from 1 species
AAGUACUUAGUUUAAACAAAACAUUUGAUUUCGGCUCAAAAAACGUGGUUAAAAUCCUCAAGCACUUU